rnacentral:misc_RNA from 1 species
AACUUUCAACAAUGGAUCACUUGGCUCUCGCAUCGAUGAAGAACGCAACGAAAUGCGAUAAGUAAUGUGAAUUGCAGAUUUUCAGUGAAUCAUCGAAUCUUUGAACGCACCUUGCGCUCCUUGGUAUUCCGAGGAGCAUGCCUGUUUGAGUGUCAUGAAAUUCUCAACCCCCUUGUGCUUUUGCGAGCUACAAGGAGGCUUGGAUUUGGGGGACUGUGUUGGCCUAGUCGGUCGACUCCCCUUGAAUGCAUUAGCUGGACUGUCCGUCUUGUUAACGGUUCGCGGUGUGAUACACUAUCUACGCCCUGGUAAAUCCGUCUUUCAGGUCUGGUCAAGCUUCUAAUCGUCUUCGGACAAUUCACCUAUUAUCUGACCUCAAAUCAGGUAGGACUACCCGCUGAAUUUAAGCAUAUCAAUAAGCGGAGGCU